GGAGGGAUGGCUGAGUGGUUUAAGGCACUGGUCUUGAAAACCAGCGUACGAGCAAUUGUACCGUCGGUUCGAAUCCGACUCCCUCCGCCG
rnacentral:tRNA from 2 species